rnacentral:lncRNA from 1 species
UUUCCUCUUGUAAAAUGCUCUCUCUGGUCACAGCUAUGCAAAGGGGACUGACCCCUACGAAAGGCUUGUUCCACCCCCAAAUGGGUCACGACCCACAGGCUGAAAACUGCUGCAUUGCAGGGACAUUCCUCUUCCUACCUGUCCUGUUCUCUGCCGCACAGUCCUUGUGGUCUUUGGCUCAAGGAACCGUCCCCAGCCUCGGAGCUCCAGCUGACGCCACGAAACCUCCAGUUUUCUACAAUGGAAUCUGCCUCGUAAUGAAGAACUGGUGAUGGCCUUAGGGCCUGACGGGAUAGCUGGGGACAUUCUGUCUGCGCUGGUCUGAGUGUGAGCCUUUGGGAGCUGAAUAUGCGAUUCAGGAACAACUUAUUACCGGAUGGGGGUCACGACCUCUUGUCUUUUUGCCAAACGAGGACCCAGUGCUCACCUCUUCUUGGGGAAGCAGCAGUUAAGCUACUUUUUAGAAGUGAAAGCUGGACCUUACUACCAGCUGAGCACACACUGCCUUGACCAUGGACUCCGGAGGCAUCGUAACCGUGACCAAUACUUAUCUGUUGUUCAUGGGUUACUCAGAAUGAAGUACCAUUUGUAGCAACAGGAAUGGAGUCAAGCACUGUAGUGUGUGUGUGUGUGUGUGUGUGUGUGUGUGUGUGUGUCUGUGUGUGUAAACCAGACGAUGACCUCAGGUACUGUCCACUGUUUUCUUUGGCACCAAGCAUCUUAACACCCAUAAAUUAUCUCACUGCGAAGCAUCAUUUGCCACGAGCA